rnacentral:rRNA from 1 species
GACGAACGCUGGCGGCGUGCUUAACACAUGCAAGUCGAACGGAAAGGCCCUGCUCUUGUUGGUUUCUCGAUUGGCGCACGGGUGUGUAACACGUGAGUAACCUGCCCUUGUCUUUGUGAUAUCUCCUGGAAACUGCGGCUCAUACCCCAUAUAAUCUCCUGCUCCAUGUUGUUGGUUGGAAAGUUUCGGCUGUGCGGGAUGGACUCGCUGGUUAUCCGCUUGUUUGUGGGGUAGUGGCUUACCAAGGCUUUGACGGGUAGCCUGCCUGAGAGGGUGAACGGCCACAUGGGGACUGAGAGACGGACCAGAAUGCUACGGGAGGCAGCAGUGGGAAAUAUGGCACAAUGGGCGGAAGCCUGAUGCAGAGACGCCGCGUGCGGGAUAACGGCCUUCGGGUGGUAAACAGAUUUCGACGGUGACGAAGCGUGAGUGACGGUAAUGGGUAAAGAAGCAACGGCUAACUACGUG